CUUAACAGAAAGCAGGCUGGGAUAUUGGCGGCUAAAUUGACUCAUAAGAACUGUCAGUGCGACUUUGGAAGGAACAUUUAAAACUGAUCUGCUGAGACUGCCCACUCUCUUGCUUCGGUGAUCUGCCAUGAGCUUUGUGUACUGGUACAUCCUCAUUUCUACAGUAUCAUUUCUUUCCCAUCUGCCCUUCUAAAGCAGCCUGCCUGGAAGAAGUGACCAACACCUCCCUGACUACAACCUCCUCUCAGGCAGUUGAAGAGAGCAACUGAACCUUUUUUUCUCCAGACUAAACAUCCCCAUCUUCUUCAGUUGCUCCUCAUCAGACUUGUGCUCCAGAUCCUUCCCCAGCUCUGUUGUCCUUACUUGGACAUUACAGCAUUCAUCAAUGCCUUCAUUUCAUCAUUCCAGCGCCUCAAUGCCUUUCUUGUCAUGAGAGGCUGACAACUGAAUCCAUCAGUCAAGGAUGGCUCACACCAGAGCCAGCACAGGGGGAUGGUCACUGCCAUGGUCCUCCUGGCCUUCCUAUGCUGAUUCAAACCAGGAUGUUCUUGUCCAUCUUGGCCACCUGGGUACAGAUGGCUUGUGGUCAGCUGGCAUUGACCAGCUCCUCCAGGUCCUUUUCCAGCAGGCAGAUUUCCAGCCACUCUACCCCCUGCCUGUGAUAGUGCAUGCAGUUGUUGUGACCCAAGGACAACAUAUCUCAACACCCCAAAGAUAAUACGAAUACGUCAUAUCAGAA